AACGAACGCUGGCGGCAUGCCUAACACAUGCAAGUCGAACGAGACCUUCGGGUCUAGUGGCGCACGGGUGCGUAACGCGUGGGAAUCUGCCCUUCGGUUGGGAAUAACUGAGAGAAAUUUCAGCUAAUACCUUAUAAUGUCUUAGGACCAAAGAUUUAUCGCCGAGGGAUGAGCCCGCGUAGGAUUAGGUAGUUGGUGGGGUAAUGGCCUACCAAGCCGACGAUCCUUAGCUGGUCUGAGAGGAUGAUCAGCCACACUGGGACUGAGACACGGCCCAGACUCCUACGGGAGGCAGCAGUGGGGAAUAUUGGACAAUGGGCGAAAGCCUGAUCCAGCAAUGCCGCGUGAGUGAUGAAGGCCUUAGGGUUGUAAAGCUCUUUUACCCGGGAUGAUAAUGACAGUACCGGGAGAAUAAGCUCCGGCUAACUCCGUG
rnacentral:rRNA from 1 species